GACCAUGUGAUCACAGAUCAAACAAACAUCGAAGGGCAAGGCGAAGAAAAUUUACGCAACACAGACAGCUGAAAGUUCAAAGAUCUGAGCAGUAUAAAGAUCACGUUGAAAUUCCGUUGACAUCUGAUGUAACGGUAAAGGUGAAGGCAGACAAUGUACAUAGCAUCUGGAUGUGCCCGAAAGAAGACGCCAUUACCACAAAGAAGCGCCUAC